rfam:Peptostreptococcaceae bacterium AS15 ctg120005099214, whole genome shotgun sequence.
UGAGUAAGUCAGACAGUCGCAUAUUUAAUAUAUGAGGAAAGUCCGAGCUUCGCAGAGCACGGUGCCGGAUAACGUCCGGUGGAGGCGACUCCAAGGCUAGUGCAACAGAAAUAAACCGCCCGACAUCGGGUAAGGAUGGAAAGGUAAGGUAAGAGCUUACCAAAAUGCAGGCGACUGCAUUGUUAUGUAAACCCCACCGGAAGCAAGACCAAGAAGGAUGUAAAAACUAAAGUUGCUCGCUUUAAUCCAAAAGGUAGGUCGCUUGAGGUCAUUGGCAACAGUGACAGUAGAUAGAUGACUGUUUAAUACUGAACUCGGCUUAUAGACUUGCUCAUUUU